AUGGUGCUGGUGUCAAGGAGCGCAGCUGCAGCGAGGGGCUGCACGGCGAGGGAGUUGGGGAGGAGGAGAGUCGCGGCGAGGGCAGCGGCGAGCACGAUGAGCGGCAAGAAGAGCCUGCCAUGCCGCGCCAGGAGGAGGGUGACGUCCUUCCAAGGGCGACCGCCGAAGUUGGGCUGCCGCCUCGCUUCUUCAGUCAUCAGUCGUUCAGAUGGGCCUGCCAGGACCUGCACCUUUCUCAUGCCUGUGCUAAAAUUUCAAAUAUCUAUUAAUAGUCCCACCCUGCUCUUUUACAUGAAAUCUUACGAACUUAUAUACACUCAUGCGUUGCAAGAUCAACAAGCCAAAAAAGAGAGGAUGAGAGGUGCCUGCCGCAUGUAUUAUGCGUCACCAAUCAAAAAUGAACAAAAGGAGGAGAGGCGCAUAAUGGAAAGAAAGGUCUCAGUUAAAUUGCCAGUCAUGGAAAAGAACAGUGUUGGGGGCAUUCACCGGAGCCAGCAUGGCCGGCCGCCAGAUCUGGCGAGCAACCGAGCCACUGCACACCGGCUCCGUUGCCCGCAGCCACCCACCGGGGUGAGCUACACCACCACGGCACGGGGACUCCGCCCCGGCCCCCGUGCACCGACGAGCACGCCGCCUCGGGCCCUGUGCACCGACGAGCACGCCGCCACCACCCCAGCUGUUGCAGCAAACACGCCGGCGCGGCCAGCCGGCUGGCUAGCCACCGCGGGCGAGAAGAGGAGAGCAUCGCUUGGCUGGUGUUAG
rnacentral:rRNA from 1 species